GUUUGGGUGUCCCUCCCCAUCCUAGUUUGGUGUGUAGAUAGUGUUGGUUCCGAUUUUGGUUUCUGAGCUUGAUGGAGCUUUCAUGGUGCGGGAGACCUGCAUCAAUUUUCAAGCUUUGAGAAGAGCUGGGUUGUAAAACUCUAGUUCUGUUUGUGGUUCUUGGGGCUUUGAAGCUUCUAUCAUCUUGACGGGGAAGAUAUUUGCAUGGGUUGAUGUUGGUAUCUCCGGGAUUAGCCUUACACUAUUGCUGAAGUUGGUCCCGAAAAUUAUAUGAGAUUGAGAUACCGAGAGCUCUACUGCGUCGCUUUCCUAGCUAUGGCAAUGGAUCUAAUUUGAUCAGGAAGAAGGUUCAAUAUUGAUGGGGUUGAAGCAAGGGUUUAAUGGUUGUGCAGGGUCUCUUUGAGAUCUCUCAAAUGUUGGUAGCUUCAAUCUCACCAGUGAUCCAGUUUAGCAUAGCAGGAGAAUAGAACUUCGGUCUGCCUUAGAUACGACGGCGUAAUUUUCCUCUGUAAUCCUAGGAUUUCUGGUAGGAUUGUGGACAGGGUUAGCUGUGUAAGGGUGGAUGCUGAGCUAGGCUUAGAGCUU
rnacentral:misc_RNA from 1 species